GAUGAACGCUGGCGGCGUGCCUAAUACAUGCAAGUCGAACGCUGGAACUCUAGCUUGCUGGAUUGAAGGAGUGGCGAACGGGUGAGUAAUACAUAAGCAACCUACCCACGAAGACUGGGAUAAUCUCUGGAAACGGGGACUAAUACCGGAUAGGUAAUCGGAAGGCAUCUUCUGAUUAUUAAAGGUUAAAAACACUGGUGGAUGGGCUUAUGGCGCAUUAGUUAGUUGGUGAGGUAACGGCCCACCAGGACGAUGAUGCGUAGCCGGCCGGAGGGGGUGAACGGCGACAUGGGGACUGAGACACGGCCCAGACUCCUACGGGAGGCAGCAGUAGGGAAUGUUCGGCAAUGGGGGAAACCCUGACCGAGCAACGCCGCGUGAGGGAUGACGGCCUUCGGGAUGUAAAGCUCUGUUGUAAGGGAAGAACGGUAGAUAGAGAAUAUCUAAAUGACGGUACCUUACCAGAAAGCCACGGCUAACUACGUG
rnacentral:rRNA from 1 species